UCGGCAUAUAGCCCAGCACUGAAUCCCGUAGUUUUUUAAAUUGCGGGAGAUGUGGCGUUCGGGAGGUUCCGCUUUCUCGUCGCGGUCGCUCCUGUCCAAGUUCGUCUGGAACGGGGCCGUUUUCCCGCAGAGGGUGCCAGGCCCGUAGCGACGGAGGACCGCGGCGAGAGGGACUCUCCUUAGAGUCGGGUUGCUUGAGAGUGCAGCCCUAAGUGGGUGGUAA
rnacentral:rRNA from 1 species